rnacentral:rRNA from 1 species
UACGUAGGGUGCAAGCGUUGUCCGGAAUUAUUGGGCGUAAAGCGCUCGUAGGCGGCCUGUCGCGUCGGAUGUGAAAGCCCGGGGCUUAACCCCGGGUCUGCAUUCGAUACGGGCAGGCUAGAGUUCGGUAGGGGAGAUCGGAAUUCCUGGUGUAGCGGUGAAAUGCGCAGAUAUCAGGAGGAACACCGGUGGCGAAGGCGGAUCUCUGGGCCGAUACUGACGCUGAGGAGCGAAAGCGUGGGGAGCGAACAGG